rnacentral:rRNA from 1 species
AGAGUUUGAUCCUGGCUCAGGACGAACGCUGGCGGCGUGCCUAAUACAUGCAAGUCGAGCGAACCAAUGGGAGCUUGCUCCCUGAGGUUAGCGGCGGACGGGUGAGUAACACGUGGGUAACCUGCCUGUAAGAUUGGGAUAACUCCGGGAAACCGGAGCUAAUACCGGAUAACAUUUUGAACCGCAUGGUUCAAAAUUGAAAGAUGGUUUCGGCUAUCACUUACAGAUGGACCCGCGGCGCAUUAGCUAGUUGGUGAGGUAACGGCUCACCAAGGCGACGAUGCGUAGCCGACCUGAGAGGGUGAUCGGCCACACUGGGACUGAGACACGGCCCAGACUCCUACGGGAGGCAGCAGUAGGGAAUCUUCCGCAAUGGACGAAAGUCUGACGGAGCAACGCCGCGUGAACGAUGAAGGCCUUCGGGUCGUAAAGUUCUGUUGUUAGGGAAGAACAAGUACCAGAGUAACUGCUGGUACCUUGACGGUACCUAACCAGAAAGCCACGGCUAACUACGUGCCAGCAGCCGCGGUAAUACGUAGGUGGCAAGCGUUGUCCGGAAUUAUUGGGCGUAAAGCGCGCGCAGGCGGUUUCUUAAGUCUGAUGUGAAAGCCCACGGCUCAACCGUGGAGGGUCAUUGGAAACUGGGGAACUUGAGUGCAGAAGAGGAGAGUGGAAUUCCACGUGUAGCGGUGAAAUGCGUAGAGAUGUGGAGGAACACCAGUGGCGAAGGCGACUCUCUGGUCCGUAACU